GAUGAACGCUGACAGAAUGCUUAACACAUGCAAGUCAACUUGAAUUUGGGUUUUUUAACUUAGAUUUGGGUGGCGGACGGGUGAGUAACGCGUAAAGAACUUGCCUCACAGCUAGGGACAACAUUUGGAAACGAAUGCUAAUACCUGAUAUUAUGAUUAUAAGGCAUCUUAGAAUUAUGAAAGCUAUAUGCGCUGUGAGAGAGCUUUGCGUCCCAUUAGCUAGUUGGUGAGGUAACGGCUCACCAAGGCGAUGAUGGGUAGCCGGCCUGAGAGGGUGAACGGCCACAAGGGAACUGAGACACGGCCCUUACUCCUACGGGAGGCAGCAGUGGGGAAUAGUGGACAAUGGACCAAGAGUCUGAUCCAGCAAUUCUGUGUGCACGAUGACGUUUUUCGGAAUGUAAAGUGCUUUCAGUUGGGAAGAAAAAAAUGACGGUACCAACAGAAGAAGUGACGGCUAAAUACGUG
rnacentral:rRNA from 1 species